rnacentral:rRNA from 1 species
UACGUAGGGUGCAAGCGUUGUCCGGAAUUAUUGGGCGUAAAGAGUUCGUAGGUGGCCUGUCGCGUCCGUUGUGAAAGCCCGGGGCUUAACCCCGGGUCUGCAUUCGAUACGGGCAGACUAGAGUGUGGUAGGGGAGAUCGGAAUUCCUGGUGUAGCGGUGAAAUGCGCAGAUAUCAGGAGGAACACCGGUGGCGAAGGCGGAUCUCUGGGCCAUUACUGACGCUGGAGGAGCGAAAGCGUGGGGAGCGAACAGG